rnacentral:lncRNA from 1 species
CUGGGCUUCCUCUCUUUGUUCAUCCUCUUCUCUCUCAAUUUCUUUUUCCUUCUCAUCUGUAUACUCAUCUCCUCCUGGUUCCUCCACACCUUUAGCCUCCAUACUGUCAGCCUUCUUCUGACCUUUGGACUUCUCUUCCUUGGCCUCUGUCUCUUCCCUACUCCCUUCUCUCAAUCUGACUUUUGUCUCUUGGCUUCCCCCAGCCUCCCCUCUAUCCUCACUGGCCUUUCCAGCCUCCACCUUGGUCUCUGGACUUCCCUCUGCCUCUUCCCUGAUGUCUAGCCUGCCUCCAGGCUCAGCCUGCUUGUCCUCCCCAACUUCCCAGCAUGCCUGCUCUUCCCCACCCUGUCCCAGAGCCUGCCUUCCACAUCCUGCUGCCUCUCCCUCCAGACUCCCUGAACCCUUCCAGAUUGGGGGUUUAGGUCCCAGAAGGGGACUUAGGUCAUCAUAGGCACUCAGGAAAACUUCCUCCCCAUUUUCCUCCUCAACUUCAGGCCUGGGGCCAGCGGAGUCCAGGGAACAGCAGCUGGGGGCCAAGACAAACUGUGCCUCAUCCAGAGACAGGUCAUCCAGGGGUGGCUCCACAGAGAACUCCUCCACCUGUAGGCACAGCAUUGUGACUCAGGACCAGGAGGCCCUGUCCACCCUUGACUCCAUGCCACCCCCAAACCCAGCACGGCUCUCCUUACCUGAGGCCCAACUCCCAGGAGCUCCUCCAGGUAGCCCAUCCCAGGGUCGUCCUCCCCAGGGGAGAAGGCUGCUCCUGCUGCUUCUGCCUGGGCCACCUCCCCAUCCUCUGCCCCCACCCACUCAGGUUCUGAGCUGCUUGAGUCCUCUAGGAAGGAGAAGGAGUCCUGCACCUCCUGGGACAGCGAGUCCUCCAGGGCAGGAGCCAAGUCGUCUGGGCCUGAGUCUGCCAGGGGACUUGAGGCUGGACUUGCUUCCAACUUUUCAUCUGUUGGGGGAGAAGUAGUCCCAGGAAUACAAAGGUCAAGCCCUGACCCUUUUCAGUGUGAGUCCUCCUAGCAUUGAUAUAGCAGGGGCCCAGCACUCCCAGCAUUGCUACUCUGCAUGACUGAUCCUUUCAGACCAAUGUCCCUAGUUAUUGGCUUGCUACCUUAAUUGAGACCCUACCAGGUGCCAAGCACUGUGCUAUGUAUUUUACAAUGCAUUGGCAUUUUUUCCUCCAAACUAUUAUGUGGGGUAUUGUCCUCAUUUUACAUAUGAGGAAACUGAGGCUCAGAGAGAUUAAGCAAUUUGUCUAAGGUCAUGUAAUGAAUAAGCAGUACAGCCAAAAUUUGAACCCAAGUCUACUUAACUCUAUAGCCCAUGUUCUUACCCACUAUCCUAUCCUGCCUCAGGACUUCUCAUGAGUGACACUUCAGGAACUGGAGUCAGAGCAAGGAUCAGAUCCUAGCUCUGCUACUUCUACCUAAAUCAAUUGCAAAUUGAUUAACCUAAGUCUCAGUUUCCACUGCUGUAACAUAAGGCUAACAAUACCUAUGUCAUAAGAUUAUGAGAAAAUGAAACAAACCAAUCCUGCAAUCACAGCACUUGGACCUUUUUUUUUUUUUUUUUUUUUGAGACGGAGUCUUGCUAUGUCUCCCAGGCUGGAGUGCAGUGGCGCAAUCUCAGCUCACUGCAACCUCCACCUCCUGGGUUGAACCAAUUCUCCUGCCUCAGCCUUCUGAGUCUCUGGGAUUACAGGCAUGCCUCACCACGCACGCCUGGCUAAUUUUUUUUUAAUUUUUUUUAGUAGAGACGGGGUUUCACCAUGUUGACCAGGCUGGUCUCGAACUCCUGACCUCCAGUGAUCCACCCUCCUCAGCUUCCCAAAGUGUUGGGAUUACAGGUGUGAGCCACCGUGCCUGGCCUAGCACUUGGUACUUAAUAAACUGUUUUUUGUUUUUUUUUUUUUAAUUUGAGACAGAGUUUUGCUCUUGUCGCCCAGGCUAGAGUGCAGUGGCGUGAUCUCGGCUCGCUGCAGCCUCUGCCUCCUGGGUUCAAGCGAUUCUCCUGCCUCAGCCUCCCAAGGAGCUGGGACCGCAGGCAUCUGCCACCACACCUGGCCAGUUUUUUGCAUUUUUAGUAGAGAUGGGGUUUCGCCAUGUUGGGCAGGCUGGUCUUGAACUCCUGACCUCAGGUGAUCUGCCUGCCUAGGCAUCCCAAAGUGCUGGGUUUACAGGCAUGAGCCACGGCGCCUGGCUGGUACUUAAUAAACUCUUGCUAAAUGUUAGCUGAUAGUAUUGAUGUUACUAUUAUUGUUACCCAUCCAUCUAUUAUAUAUUCCCACAUUUGUCCUUAGUAAUCCCUGCUGUAUGUUUCUGACACAGGCCCCUAUUCUUGGGUACAUCAAUGUUCUGAAGGCUGCUAGAGAUCUCCUCUCCAUAGAUUUCACAUAGCCUGAUAAUAUUACUGGAUUUCCCUAAUCCUGAAUCUAGGGAGGCAGCUAAAGGUAACCACCCCAAAGCCCAAGGGCUGAGGCCUCUGCCCUUCCUAGGGUGGAUCUUCCAGCAUCAGAGCUUCAGCCUAGAGUUCCAGUCCCCUUUCCUAGUCUUGGUCAAUCAAUGGGUCCUCACCUGGGGGGCCAGGGCCAAGGCCAGGGCCAGGGCCAGGGCCAGAGGCAGGGCUUGGCCGGUGCUGUAGAGCAGGGCACUCAAGGCCACGGGUGAGCCUGGCCAAGGAAACGUUAGAGAUGAUGUUCGGGGGCACACUGAGGAUAGAGGUGAUGUGUAGCGGGAGGUUGACAUUGUAGGGGUCUGAGAUGUGGACACCAGCACAGCGUUCUGCACGGCUGCUGCCCCCAGCCCGGAUGGCUGACCGCCCAGCUCGUGGUGUGCCUGGUUCAGAGUUUGUGCCACCCAGUGCUUCUGCCUCAGGCUCCUGUUCACCCUCUGCUGCCUCUAUAGAAUCGUUCUCCAAGCUCUCAGGCAGCAAUGGGCUUGGCCGGGGGCUGCUGGGCCCCACCAGCCCCUCUGGCUCUGUGGAGGAAAAAGAGGGCCAGGUAGGCAAUAGCCUAAACUCCAAGGGGCCUAGACAUCUCAAGAAGGCUCUGGAGAAUGCUCUCUGCUUUCUCAGGCUUGAAAGCAACGAUAGCCUGGAAGGCACCAGGCCCAGCUUCUUUUGAUCACUACUGCAAACUUUUCACCCAGCCAGUAGGUCAAAGAUCACCUCACCUUCACAUACCUAGGGAACUCCCUUCCUUCCCUGCAGAUACAGUCACUGGCCGUUGUCACCACCACCACCACCACCACCACCACCACCACCACCACCACCACCACCACCACCACCACCACCACCACCACCACCACCACCACCACCACCACAUACCCAUGCUGUCCCAUCCCAUACGAACACUCAUCAACAAAGUCAUAGAUUAGACAAUCAACUCACCGUAGCAUUCAGCUACAUUUACAAUGUGGCUGGUAUAUAAUAGGCACUCAUUAAAUAUUUUUUGAAAUUAUUGAACACAGUUGGCUGCAUGUACACACAAGCCCACGCUGGUCACAUAGCACACACACAUACACACAGAAAUGCACCCCUAUACUCACCAUCACUGGCCCCAGCUGCAGCACUCAGUGAGUCCAUGCUUUUGGCUGGCCGCAGUGUCCCCUUGUUGGAUUUAUCCUCUGUAAGACAGGGAUGUGUGUAGAGCCAGGGCCUUGUGCACCCUCAGCAGAGCUCCCCCCAUCUCCCCAGACUUACCCCUGUCCUCAGCCCCCCGUGGAAGUUUACGCUUAGUCUCAUGGCCAGAGCGACCUAAAUUGAAGAUAGACCUCCACUUCCUGACCUUCAAAGACCCCUUCCUCCUACAAAGAAUGGAGGGGCAUAAUUGGAGGUUGGAACAUGAAGGUCGGUGCAGGGGAGGAAGGCCCAGGAAGGAGGCCUUACUUGUGCUCUGCAAUCUCGAUGAUAGUAUGGUAGGGCCGCAUCUGUGGGGGUCCAUCGCCAGCCUGCAGUAUGCUAGGCAGGUGAUAAGGCAGUGGCCUGGGCAUAAGGUCCUCGGGGCUGCCUGAUGCCCGGGUCCCUGGAAGCGAUCGCCACCCACUCUCCACCUCACCACCUGGGAAAAGAAAAGGAAUUGGCCAGCCAGGAACAGAGCCAAGAGAGGGACCUCAGGCACCCAAUCCUUCAUCACCCCUCGCCAACUACCAGGUUAGGGAUAUAUUCAGAAGCCCCUGAAGACAGUGCCUCCAUGUCCAUCACCUCAAAAGAGUGCCCUCAUGGACAAAGAGGGCUGGGAGAUCCGAGAACGUUGGCCUGGUGGGCUGGGGGUGGAUAUGAGCCAUCACUAGCCUUGGGAGCCAGGAUGGUGACUCAGAGGUCAAGCCAUGCCCUAGACUGACAGCAGAAGAAGUCUUCUCAAGUCCUGACUGCACAAUUAUCUCCCCAGGGUUCUCUCCAUGUGGCCACUACCAACAUCCCUGUAUGAGACUCAGCUGAAGUAGGUGAUCUUCAAGGC